rnacentral:rRNA from 1 species
AAUACAGAGGGGGCAAGCGUUGUUCGGAAUUACUGGGCGUAAAGGGCGCGUAGGCGGCCUGCUAAGUCGAACGUGAAAUCCCCGGGCUCAACCCGGGAACUGCGUUCGAUACUGGUUGGCUUGAAUCCGGGAGAGGGAUGCAGAAUUCCAGGUGUAGCGGUGAAAUGCGUAGAUAUCUGGAGGAAUACCGGUGGCGAAGGCGGCAUCCUGGACCGACAUUGACGCUGAACGGCGAAAGCUAGGGGAGCAAACGGGA